AUCCCUCCCACUCCUCCCCUGCGUCCCUCCCCUAGCGCCCUCUUCUCCCCGCCCUCCCAUCGGCGCUCUCUCCCAUUUCCGUGCUGGCUUCCCCCUUGGCGGCGGCGGUCACGUCCACUUUUGAAAUCAUUCACACUCAUCCGAUGGGUCCUUUUCACUUAGCGCCAGGACUGGACCGUGAACUAAAAGACCAGCCUGAGGAUUCAGCCAGCCCUUACCCCCACUCCCAUCUGCCGAAAACGACACUCGAGCCUGCCAAAGUCUGACUAACUUAGUGUCCUCUGCCGGGGAUCUGCUUCUCAGGAGGGCACGCGUAUAGACACAGCAACCUGUCCAAGUAUCGGAACUCAGUGGAGAGAGGUGCAUAAGUGCAAGCUGGUGGCGGUGUGACUCCACUGCCUUGCAGUCUCCCGGAGGAAGCUUUCAGGCACUUCUAGGCAACUAAGCCCCACCCCCACCCCACCACACAGCAUCCUAACAAGUUAGAGUUGACUGCAUUUGCCCUGGGAUGUUGCCUGGUGCUCACCUUGGGCUUAUAAAGUUCUCAAAGCAGAGAUGGGGAUUAUGGUGUACCUGCCGAUUGCUCAUACAUGGUACCUUGCCUGCCCUUCAGGAGGCAAUCAACUCAUACUUACUCAGUAAGCAAAUGACACCAAAACCCUUCGAACUGUCUGUUUAGAUUGCACCACCAGUCAAGCAAUAAGUAAAAAUGGGCUGUUACAGAGUGUAUAUCUAAUUUGCACUCAUCUGUCUAUCCUUAGGCGACUUAAAAAUUACAUGCAUAGUUAAUGCUGUGACCUGCAUUUGCCUUGGUAUGCCAUAGCCAGGGGCUACAAAGCGAGAAAAAAAAUCAUGUCAACAGAAAACUGUCUGGAGUAAAACCCUGUGGAAGGGGGAAGCAGAAGACGGGACUUUUUUUUCUGUGUGUCAUGACAUGGAUUCCAUCUGUCACCUCCCUGAUGACGUCAUGGUGUGAAGUCAUGCCAAUUCCUUUGGAGUAUUUUGGAAAGGAGAUCAUUGCAAGCGUUCCAUAUAUGUGACAUCCUGAGAUGGAUGGGCAAGUAGGAUCUACAGGCAAGAUGCUAAUCUGGGAACCAGGAACCAAACAGGAAACAGAGGCACUGCUGACUGUGAUGAGCUCUUGCUGGAGAUCAGUUCCUGCUCUAGACUCUAAGUUGAUUUGUUUUCUUGUAUCAGAGGAAGAUAUGGUCAACUUCAGAGACAACUUUAUAACAGGACACUUCAAGCCCACUUCACCUGGAUUUUGAUAAAUCCCUGACUAGCAUUCUAGCCCUCAGUAGGGUCUAGACUGUUGGACCACUUGUUAAUUAUUUUGGGCUUUUUGUUGGUUGGUUGGUUGGUUGGUUGGUUUUGUUGUUGUUGUUGUUGUUAAGUUUUUUUUGAGACAGGGUUUCUCUG